UGGAGCAUGUGGUUUAAUUCGAUGCAACGCGAAGAACCUUACCUGGUCUUGACAUCCACAGAACUUUCCAGAGAUGGAUUGGUGCCUUCGGGAACUGUGAGACAGGUGCUGCAUGGCUGUCGUCAGCUCGUGUUGUGAAAUGUUGGGUUAAGUCCCGCAACGAGCGCAACCCUUAUCCUUUGUUGCCAGCGGUCCGGCCGGGAACUCAAAGGAGACUGCCAGUGAUAAACUGGAGGAAGGUGGGAUGACGUCAAGUCAUCAUGGCCCUUACGACCAGGGCUACACACGUGCUACAAUGGCGCAUACAAAGAGAAGCGACCUCGCGAGAGCAAGCGGACCUCAUAAAGUGCGUCGUAGUCCGGAUUGGAGUCUGCAACUCGACUCCAUGAAGUCGGAAUCGCUAGUAAUCGUGGAUCAGAAUGCCACGGUGAAUACGUUCCCGGGCCUU
rnacentral:rRNA from 1 species